rnacentral:rRNA from 1 species
CUGAUGGAGGGGGAUAACUACUGGAAACGGUAGCUAAUACCGCAUAACGUCGCAAGACCAAAGAGGGGGACCUUCGGGCCUCUUGCCAUCGGAUGUGCCCAGAUGGGAUUAGCUUGUUGGUGGGGUAACGGCUCACCAAGGCGACGAUCCCUAGCUGGUCUGAGAGGAUGACCAGCCACACUGGAACUGAGACACGGUCCAGACUCCUACGGGAGGCAGCAGUGGGGAAUAUUGCACAAUGGGCGCAAGCCUGAUGCAGCCAUGCCGCGUGUAUGAAGAAGGCCUUCGGGUUGUAAAGUACUUUCAGCGGGGAGGAAGGGAGUAAAGUUAAUACCUUUGCUCAUUGACGUUACCCGCAGAAGAAGCACCGGCUAACUCCGUGCCAGCAGCCGCGGUAAUACGGAGGGUGCAAGCGUUAAUCGGAAUUACUGGGCGU